CCAUAGAAACCUCGUCAGGACUAGCUUUAUCUGUGCUAUGCUAGUGGUACAGGCUCAGUGAUGGGAAAUUCAAGUAGGGAAAAAUAGAAGACUAUGAUAAAGUUGGUGAAUUCACUUUUGUCUUCUCUGGAUAUUUAGUCCCUUAGCACUGAGUGGCAGGGCUCCACAGAAUCCUUGGUUUUUCAAGAAAAGAGGAGAAAACUCUACUAUAGAUUGAAAAAUUAUAUGACAUGUGGAUUUUGGAGAAAGUAUUUUCAAGGGUUAGAUAUCUCAGAUUUCUCUUCUGUUGUCUCUUAUCCUCCUUCUCUUUCCAUAAUCUAGUAGAAAAGCUAUUCUUACUCUCCAGCUUCUCUACCUUUAGAACUGGGGAAACACCACCAGCAUGACUCACUGGGGUGUGGUGACGGUUAUUUUUUCUUAAUUAGUCAAAAUGUGCAAUGUGCUAAUUACUUGAAUCAUAAGAAAAAAAUCAUUAAAUAAAAAUCACAUUUGACCGGC
rnacentral:lncRNA from 1 species